UCUUGGUUUGUAGAUGUCCACACAGGUUCCCUUGUCCAUAAGUUAUUGAUCACAUCUCCAGGUGCUUCCAGACCAUGGCCAAUAGGACCUGGAAAUAAUUUACAGUCUCCUGCAGGUUCCACAGCUGGUACUGAGGUCUGUCUGCCUACUACUCAACUCACAGCCAGGUUCCAUCACAGGAAAAGGAAUAUGUGCCUCAAGGGAAAACCUGAAGCUGCCUUUCUCACCUGUGACCUCCAGCUGCAGGUGUUCACUCUCCUCUGACCACUCCUGGGAGUCCAUUGUCUUGUAGGCGCAAAAGUACGUCCCAGCAUCCUUUGGCUCCAG